AAUCCAUAGGUUAAUGAGGCGAACCGGGGGAACUGAAACAUCUAAGUACCCCGAGGAAAAGAAAUCAACCGAGAUUCCCCCAGUAGCGGCGAGCGAACGGGGAGGAGCCCAGAGCCUGAAUCAGCAUGUGUGUUAGUGGAAGCGUCUGGAAAGGCGCGCGAUACAGGGUGACAGCCCCGUACACAAAAGCGCAUGUGCUGUGAGCUCGAUGAGUAGGGCGGGACACGUGGUAUCCUGUCUGAAUAUGGGGGGACCAUCCUCCAAGGCUAAAUACUCCUGACUGACCGAUAGUGAACCAGUACCGUGAGGGAAAGGCGAAAAGAACCCCGGCGAGGGGAGUGAAAAAGAACCUGAAACCGUGUACGUACAAGCAGUGGGAGCACCCUUCGGGGUGUGACUGCGUACCUUUUGUAUAAUGGGUCAGCGACUUAUAUUCUGUAGCAAGGUUAACCGUAUAGGGGAGCCGGAGGGAAACCGAGUCUUAAUUGGGCGUUAAGUUGCAGGGUAUAGACCCGAAACCCGGUGAUCUAGCCAUGGGCAGGUUGAAGGUUGGGUAACACUAACUGGAGGACCGAACCGACUAAUGUUGAAAAAUUAGCGGAUGACCUGUGGCUGGGGGUGAAAGGCCAAUCAAACCGGGAGAUAGCUGGUUCUCCCCGAAAGCUAUUUAGGUAGCGCCUCGUGAAUUCAUCUCCGGGGGUAGAGCACUGUUUCGGCUAGGGGGCCAUCCCGGCUUACCAACCCGAUGCAAACUGCGAAUACCGGAGAAUGUUAUCACGGGAGACACACGGCGGGUGCUAACGUCCGUCGUGAAGAGGGAAACAACCCAGACCGCCAGCUAAGGUCCCAAAGUCAUGGUUAAGUGGGAAACGAUGUGGGAAGGCCCAGACAGCCAGGAUGUUGGCUUAGAAGCAGCCAUCAUUUAAAGAAAGCGUAAUAGCUCACUGGUCGAGUCGGCCUGCGCGGAAGAUGUAACGGGGCUAAACCAUGCACCGAAGCUGCGGCAGCGAACGUAUCACCCAAGACAACUUUACGGAGUUGACGAUUGACGGAGCGAAGCGACGUCAAAGCGUUCAUUAAAGUCGAGUUGGCUUAGGGAUACGUUCGUUGGGUAGGGGAGCGUUCUGUAAGCCUGUGAAGGUGUGUCGUGAGGCAUGCUGGAGGUAUCAGAAGUGCGAAUGCUGACAUAAGUAACGAUAAAGCGGGUGAAAAGCCCGCUCGCCGGAAGACCAAGGGUUCCUGUCCAACGUUAAUCGGGGCAGGGUGAGUCGACCCCUAAGGCGAGGCCGAAAGGCGUAGUCGAUGGGAAACGGGUUAAUAUUCCCGUACUUGGUGUUACUGCGAAGGGGGGACGGAGAAGGCUAUGUUGGCCGGGCGACGGUUGUCCCGGUUUAAGCGUGUAGGUGUGUGUUCCAGGUAAAUCCGGUUCACUUUAACACUGAG
rnacentral:rRNA from 1 species